rnacentral:rRNA from 1 species
UACAGGGGGGGCAAGCGUUGUUCGGAAUUACUGGGCGUAAAGGGCCAGUAGGCGGCCAACUAAGUCCGACGUGAAAUCCCCAGGCUUAACCUGGGAACUGCGUCGGAUACUGGAUGGCUUGAAUUCGGGAGAGGGAUGCAGAAUUCCAGGUGUAGCGGUGAAAUGCGUAGAUAUCUGGAGGAAUACCGGUGGCGAAGGCGGCAUCCUGGACCGAGAUUGACACUGAUGAGCGAAAGCUAGGGGAGCAAACGGG